rnacentral:rRNA from 1 species
AUUGAACGCUGGCGGCAUGCCUUACACAUGCAAGUCGAACGGCAGCACGGGAGCUUGCUCCUGGUGGCGAGUGGCGAACGGGUGAGUAAUACAUCGGAACGUGCCCGAUCGUGGGGGAUAACGCAGCGAAAGCUGUGCUAAUACCGCAUACGAUCUACGGAUGAAAGCGGGGGAUCGCAAGACCUCGCGCGGACGGAGCGGCCGAUGGCAGAUUAGGUAGUUGGUGGGAUAAAAGCUUACCAAGCCGACGAUCUGUAGCUGGUCUGAGAGGACGACCAGCCACACUGGGACUGAGACACGGCCCAGACUCCUACGGGAGGCAGCAGUGGGGAAUUUUGGACAAUGGGCGCAAGCCUGAUCCAGCCAUGCCGCGUGCAGGAUGAAAGGCCUUCGGUUGUAAACUAGCUUUGUUACGGAACGAAAAAGGACUCUCUCUAAUACAGGGGUGAAUGACGGUACCGUAAGAAUAAGACACCGGCUAACUACGUAGCCAG